GAGCAGUGCCAUGUCCGUGCCCAGGAUCCGAACCGGCAAAACCUUGGGCCACCAAAGUGGAGCCUGCGAACUUAACCACUUGGCCACGGGCCAGCCUCUGGUGGGUGAUUUCAGAAACAUGAUGGAACUCAAAAGUUGUGGUGUAUCAUGGAUGGCAAAUUCUUUCCAGGGAAAGCAUGAAUCUAACAAGGCUGAAGGUGAAUCUCAAAGACGUGAACUGUAUUGAGUGAAAGAAGCCAGUCCCAGAUGGCUGUAUACUGAAUGAUUCCACUUGUAUGACAUUCUGGAAAAGGCAAACCAAUGGGACAGAAAACAGAGCAGUGAUUGUCAGACUUUUUGAACUCUUCAGGUGAAACUGAACUCUGCUUUUGGUGACAAUGUGACUUCAUAGAUGGGGAUGAUUACUCUCUCUAGUAGAUGGAACCUGAGGGUUCAGUGAUCAGAAGAAAUCAGCGAACGCAAAAGAAAAUUACCUACUGGGUCAAUGAAAGCUAACUUCUGUCCUCAAAGGAGAGGUGAUGUUCAUGCAUUUUCUCCCUUUCUAAUUAUGAAAUAAUCUUUAAGGAGC
rnacentral:lncRNA from 1 species